GAAACAGUAGCCAUUUUGUAGCUCACACAAGUUGUUGCUAAUCUGCUGACUCAUGUGUUGAUGUGAAGUAGUGGCUGAACCAGCAACUUCUCUACCUUCCCUGGAUCCUCCUUCAGCUUUUCCAAUUCCUAUAUGUGUGUUUACCUCCAUGAUGAAGCAGAACACUCACACCAUUAAGGCUCUUCUUGCUUGUUUGCUCUUAUGAAGCCAGCUGCCAUGUUAUAAGCUGUCAUAUGGAGAGGCCCAUAUGACAGGAACUGAGAAUGGCCUCCAGUCAACAGCCAGCAAGGAACUGAGGCCCUCAAUCUAACAGCUCACAAGGAACUGAGUCCUGACAGCAACCACAUGUGUGAAUUUGGAAUUGGCUCUUCCUCCAGUAGAGCCUUGAGAUGACUGUGGCCACAGCUGACACCUUGAUUGAGGCUCAUGAGAGACUCUGAGCCAGAGGCACCC
rnacentral:lncRNA from 10 species